UNCCACGUGUAGCAGUGAAAUGCGUAGAGAUGUGGAGGANUACCGAUGGCGAAGGCAGCCUCCUGGGAUAACACUGACGUUCAUGCCCGAAAGCGUGGGUAGCAAACAGGAUUAGAUACCCUGGUAGUNCACGCCCUAAACGAUGUCGAUUAGCUGUUGGGCAGCAUGACUGCUUAGUAGCGAAGCUAACGCGUGAAAUCGACCGCCUGGGGAGCACGGUCGCAAGAUUAAAACUCAAAGGAAUUGACGGGGACCCGCACAAGCGGUGGAUGAUGUGGAUUAAUUCGAUGCAACGCGAAGAACCUUACCUGGUCUUGACAUGUGCGGAACCCUCCAGAGACGGAGGGGUGCCUUCGGGAGCCGUAACACAGGUGCUGCAUGGCUGUCGUCAGCUCGUGUCGUGAGAUGUUGGGUUAAGUCCCGCAACGAGCGCAACCCUUGUCAUUAGUUGCCAUCAUUAAGUUGGGCACUCUAAUGAGACUGCCGGUGACAAGCCGGAGGAAGGUGGGGAUGACGUCAAGUCCUCAUGGCCCUUAUGACCAGGGCUUCACACGUCAUACAAUGGUCGGUACAGAGGGUAGCCAAGCCGCGAGGUGGAGCCAAUCUCACAAAACCGAUCGUAGUCCGGAUUGCACUCUGCAACUCGAGUGCAUGAAGUCGGAAUCGCUAGUAAUCGCAGGUCAGCAUACUGCGGUGAAUACGUUCCCGGGUCUUGUACACACCGCCCGUCACACCAUGGGAGUGGGGGAUACCAGAAGUAGGUAGGGUAACCGCAAGGAGCCCGCUUACCACGGU
rnacentral:rRNA from 1 species